GGGGAGGCAGGCUCUGCAGGGUGGGCAGGGGAGUAUCGAAUGAAUGAGAAGCUGGAGCUCAGUAGUAGGCACUUGAAAUGCAGAGUCUUGACUCGUGGGAAGUAGUUAUGCAAACAUACCAGCAGAGAAAGAACCUAUGUUCCUGGUUGGAAAGGAAGUGGUUUUGGCAAAUUGGAACUCUUGAUUUCAUUCAGUGUCCUGGUCAAGUGCAGCAAGGUGCACGGCUAACCAGUGGGUUCAUUGUGAGAGCAAGGCUGAAGCUACACUGUAUGGAUCCAUGGGAGUUGCAGUCUUGCAAGUUGCAAAUCAACUUUGUUACUGAGUUCUGCUGUCAUGGAAAACAGGGAUGAUGAAGGAUGCAAACUACUUCUGACUUGGAUUUUCUUAUCUAAAUGAAAUUUUGCUUUUAUAUAAAUGUAACUAUUGAGAGCAUUGUGUCUUUAAAAAAAAAAAGUUCCCCACUCAGUUAAUAAUUUUACAAGUCCCUUCAGCCUAUUCUCAUAUGGAAAUGAUUCAAAUUCCUUUAUCAUAUUAAAUGUCAUUUUCUGAACAUUGGAAGCUGCGGUUGUUGUGUGUUUU
rnacentral:lncRNA from 11 species